GACGAACGCUGGCGGCGUGCCUAACACAUGCAAGUCGAACGGAAAGGCUCUUAUCUUGUUUGGUGCUCGAGUGGCGCACGGGUGCGUAACACGUGAGUAACCUGCCCGUGACAGGGGGAUAGCUUCCCGAAAGUGGGAUUAAUCCUCCAUAGCACCACGAGAAGGCUGGUGGGGAUGGUAAACUUUCGGCGGUUGGGGAUGGACUUGCGGUUGAUCAGCUUGUUGGUGGGGUAGUGGCUUACCAAGGCGUUGACGGUUAGCCGGCCUGAGAGGGUGACCGGCGACACUGGGCCUAAGAUACGGCCCAGACUCCUACGGGAGGCAGCGGUGGGGAAUAUUGCACUAUGGGCGGAAGGCUGAUGGAGCAACGCCGGGUUCGGGAUGACGGACUUCGGGUUGCCAACCGCUUUAGCAUGUGACGACGCGGGAGUGACGGUAAUAGGUAAAGAAGCACCGGCUAACUACGUG
rnacentral:rRNA from 1 species